rnacentral:rRNA from 1 species
UUCCGGUUGAUCCUGCCGGACCUGACUGCUAUCGGAUUGAUACUAAGCCAUGCGAGUCAUUGUAGCAAUACAAGGCAGACGGCUCAGUAACGCGUAGUCAACCUACCCUAUGGACGGGGAUAACCUCGGGAAACUGAGAAUAAUACCCGAUAGAACAUUAUGCCUGGAAUGGUUUAUGUUUCAAAUAAUUUAUUGCCGUAGGAUGGGACUGCGGCCUAUCAGUUUGUUGGUGAGGUAAUGGCCCACCAAGACUAUUACAGGUACGGGCUCUGAGAGGAGUAGCCCGGAGAUGGGUACUGAGACACGGACCCAGGCCCUAUGGGGCGCAGCAGGCGAGAAAACUUUGCAAUGUGCGAAAGCACGACAAGGUUAAUCCGAGUGAUUUCUGCUAAAGGAAUCUUUUGUCAGUCCUAGAAACACUGUUGAAUAAGGGGUGGGCAAGUUCUGGUGUCAGCCGCCGCGGUAAAACCAGCACCUCAAGUGGUCAGGAUGAUUAUUGGGCCUAAAGCAUCCGUAGCCUGCUUUAUCAGUUUUCGGUUAAAUCCACACGCUCAACGUGUGGGCUGCCGGGAAUACUGUAAAGCUAGGGAGUGGGAGAGGUAGACGGUACUCGGGGAGGAAGGGGUAAAAUCCUUUGAUCUCUCGAUGACCACCUGUGGCGAAGGCGGUCUACCAGAACAUGUCCGACGGUGAGGGAUGAAAGCUGGGGGAGCAAACCGGAUUAGAUACCCGGGUAGUCCCAGCUGUAAACUAUGCAAACUCAGUGAUGCAUUGGCUUGAUGCCAAUGCAGUGUUGCAGGGAAGCCGUUAAGUUUGCCGCCUGGAAGUACGUACGCAAGUAUGAAACUUAAGAAUUGGCGGGGGAGCACACAGGGGUGAGCUUGCG